AACGAACGCUGGCGGCAUGCCUAACACAUGCAAGUCGAACGAGACCUUCGGGUCUAGUGGCGCACGGGUGCGUAACGCGUGGGAAUCUACCCUUGGGUUCGGAAUAACUCAGAGAAAUUUGAGCUAAUACCGGAUGAUGACGUAAGUCCAAAGAUUUAUCGCCCAAGGAUGAGCCCGCGUAGGAUUAGCUAGUUGGUGGGGUAAAGGCCCACCAAGGCGACGAUCCUUAGCUGGUCUGAGAGGAUGAUCAGCCACACUGGGACUGACACACGGCCCACACUCCUACGGGAGGCAGCAGUGGGGAAUAUUGGACAAUGGGCGAAAGCCUGAUCCAGCAAUGCCGCGUGAGUGAUGAAG
rnacentral:rRNA from 1 species